UUGUCCCGUGCCUUUCUCUGCUCCCCUGUGCCCAGUCUUGUAGACUGGCAGGACACACAACAGUUUCCCUGUCACUUUAGGAGGCCUGUCCUAAGAAGAGGGCUAGCUCUUAAAGGCACGAGAGGACAAU